UAGGUCAGUAUGCCCCGAAUAUCCCGGGCUACACGCGAGCUACAAUGGUUGGUACAAUGGGUAUCUACCCCGAAAGGGGACGGGAAUCUCCUAAAACCAAUCUUAGUUCGGAUUGAGGGCUUCAACUCGCCCUCAUGAAGCUGGAAUCCGUAGUAAUCGCGUUUCAACAGAACGCGGUGAAUACGUCCCUGCCUCCUU
rnacentral:rRNA from 1 species